rnacentral:rRNA from 1 species
GACAGAGGGGGCAAGCGUUGUCCGGAAUUACUGGGCGUAAAGAGCUCGUAGGUGGUUUGUCGCGUUGUUCGUGAAAACUCACAACUCAAUUGUGGGCGUGCGGGCGAUACGGGCAGACUGGAGUACUGCAGGGGAGACUGGAAUUCCUGGUGUAGCGGUGGAAUGCGCAGAUAUCAGGAGGAACACCGGUGGCGAAGGCGGGUCUCUGGGCAGUAACUGACGCUGAGGAGCGAAAGCGUGGGGAGCGAACAGG